rnacentral:rRNA from 1 species
UACGUAGGGUGCAAGCGUUAAUCGGAAUUACUGGGCGUAAAGCGUGCGCAGGCGGCUCGGAAAGAAAGAUGUGAAAUCCCAGGGCUUAACCUUGGAAUGGCAUUUUUAACUCCCGAGCUAGAGUAUGUCAGAGGGGGGUAGAAUUCCACGUGUAGCAGUGAAAUGCGUAGAGAUGUGGAGGAAUACCGAUGGCGAAGGCAGCCCCCUGGGAUAAUACUGACGUUCAGGCACGAAAGCGUGGGGAGCAAACAGG